GACGUAGGGCCGAGCGUUGUCCGGAGUUACUGGGCGUAAAGGGCGCGCAGGCGGUUGGUCACAUCGGCGGUGAAAGCCCCCCGCUCAACGGGGGAGGGUCCGUCGAGAUGGGCCGACUGGAGGCAGGGAGAGGGCGGUGGAAUCCGGGUGUAGUGGUGAAAUGCGUAGAUAUCCGGAGGAACACCAGUGGCGAAGGCGGCCGGCCCUGG
rnacentral:rRNA from 1 species